GCCCUCGUAGCUCAAUGGAUAGACACCUGCCUUCUAAGCAGUAGGUUGUCAGUUCGACUCUGGCCGAGGGCG
rnacentral:tRNA from 1 species